GACGAACGCUGGCGGCGUGCCUAAUACAUGCAAGUAGAACGCACAGUUUAUACCGUAGCUUGCUACACCAUAAACUGUGAGUUGCGAACGGGUGAGUAACGCGUAGGUAACCUGCCUGGUAGCGGGGGAUAACUAUUGGAAACGAUAGCUAAUACCGCAUAAUAUUAAUUAUUGCAUGAUAAUUGAUUGAAAGAUGCAAUUGCAUCACUACCAGAUGGACCUGCGUUGUAUUAGCUAGUAGGUGAGGUAACGGCUCACCUAGGCGACGAUACAUAGCCGACCUGAGGGGUGAUCGGCCACACUGGGACUGAGACACGGCCCAGACUCCUACGGGAGGCAGCAGUAGGGAAUCUUCGGCAAUGGACGAAAGUCUGACCGAGCAACGCCGCGUGAGUGAAGAAGGUUGUCGGAUCGUAAAGCUCUGUUGUAAGAGAAGAACGGGUGUGAGAGUGGAAAGUUCACACUGUGACGGUAUCUUACCAGAAAGGGACGGCUAACUACGUG
rnacentral:rRNA from 1 species